AUGACCAAAUUCCGUGACAAUGGAACGAAUAGAGAUAGAUGUAGUGGCACAUAGAAAAAUACUCUCACCCUAUACUAUUGAUUUUUUUUUUUAAUCAUCCAGGUACACAGGAGGAGGAGAAACAGGACAAAUUAUGGUGGUGGAAAAAGAAUGCAAGUAAGGAGAAACAGAGAAAUAAAGAAGGAAAUGAGCUGAGAAGUAUGGGCAAAGCUCGUACACCCAGCUGCCUGGAAAGGAGCGAGGUGGUGGCAACCAUGUGAGUACUUCUCACUUUCUUCCCUUCAGAUUCUCCAUGUGAGGUCUGGACCUAGGAUACCCAAUUUCGACAUAUUUUGACAGGGUGUGUCAGUUCAAAGGCUUAGAGUAGAGCUUCAGUGCUGGGAGAAAUUGAGCUCAUUAACGUAUUCCAGUGCACACACUGGAAACCUCGCAAAAUGAUCUGCAUGCCUAAUGACUGUGCUUAAGUCCUAUUGCUCCAGUAGAUGCUUCCCCUGAUAGCCAGCCCUUCCUGAUCUCUUGAAUUUCUGAUCCCCUCUAGUGAUCUGAGUCAUGUACCCCUACUAGUUGUCUGCAGCUUUAGCUGUGGAAGUGCUCUCAGUCAAGUGAUACAGCUAUUGUAUGUGUAGCUAUAGAGGCUGGUGUACAAAUCUGUGCUUCCUAAACAGAUUAUAUAUUCAUUGAGUGUAGGCAGGAUCCCUACUAGUCUUUGUAUUCCUGAAGCACCAAGCAUAGUGCCUGAGGGAGUAAAAUCAGAGGUAGGGCAUUAAUCCCUGUCUUUCAGAUAAGACAGUUUGAGUGAGAGAAAAAGGAAGAAUACAGAAGACUCUAAACAACAGUUCUCUUUAGGGUGACAGUCUUCUCAGUGGCACCCUGCCUGAAAGCCAUCCUUUCUAAAGCCAUGAUGCUAGGAAAAUG
rnacentral:lncRNA from 12 species